CCCCAGCCCCGCGAGGCUUCGCUGCCUCUGCGAGCCCCUCGGAAGCGUGUGCGACUUCUACUGCGGCUGUGCAAGCUCGCACAGGGGCUCCGCCCGCCAAGUCCGAGUCCGUCGGGGAAUCUGUACAGCUUACGCUUUCCG
rfam:Otolemur garnettii contig069579, whole genome shotgun sequence.